GGGGAAUAUUGCGCAAUGGGCGAAAGCCUGACGCAGCGACGCCGCGUGAGGGAUGAAGGUUUUCGGAUCGUAAACCUCUGUCAGAAGGGAAGAAACUACGUUGUGCUAAUCAGCAGCGUACUGACGGUACCUUCAAAGGAAGCACCGGCUAACUCCGUGCCAGCAGCCGCGGUAAUACGGAGGGUGCAAGCGUUAAUCGGAAUUACUGGGCGUAAAGCGCACGUAGGCUGUAGUGUAAGUCAGGGGUGAAAUCCCACGGCUCAACCAUGGAGCUGCCUUUGAUACUGCACAACUUGAAUCCGGGAGAGGGUGGCGGAAUUCCAGGUGUAGGAGUGAAAUCCGUAGAUAUCUGGAGGAACAUCAGUGGCGAAGGCGGCCACCUGGACCGGUAUUGACGCUGAGGGGCGAAAGCGUGGGGAGCAAAC
rnacentral:rRNA from 1 species